rnacentral:tRNA from 1 species
GGGUCUUUAGCUCAGUUGGUUAGAGUACUUGCAUGACAUGCAAGGUGUCGGCAGUUCGAGUCUGCCAAGACCCACCA